CGGAGCUAAUACCGGAUACGACGUGCCCGGGCAUCCGGUGUGCGUGGAAAGAAUUUUGGUUGGGGAUGGGCUCGCGGCCUAUCAGCUUGUUGGUGGGGUGAUGGCCUACCAAGGCGACGACGGGUAGCCGGCCUGAGAGGGCGACCGGCCACACUGGGACUGAGACACGGCCCAGACUCCUACGGGAGGCAGCAGUGGGGAAUAUUGCGCAAUGGGCGAAAGCCUGACGCAGCGACGCCGCGUGGGGGAUGAAGGCCUUCGGGUUGUAAACCUCUUUCAGCAGGGAAGAAGCGAAAGUGACGGUACCUGCAGAAGAAGCACCGGCUAACUACGUGCCAGCAGCCGCGGUAAUACGUAGGGUGCAAGCGUUGUCCGGAAUUAUUGGGCGUAAAGAGCUCGUAGGCGGUUUGUCGCGUCUGCUGUGAAAACUCGGGGCUUAACCCUGGGCCUGCAGUGGGUACGGGCAGACUAGAGUGCGGUAGGGGAGACUGGAAUUCCUGGUGUAGCGGUGAAAUGCGCAGAUAUCAGGAGGAACACCGGUGGCGAAGGCGGGUCUCUGGGCCGUAACUGACGCUGAGGAGCGAAAGCGUGGGGAGCGAACAGGAUUAGAUACCCUGGUAGUCCACGCCGUAAACGUUGGGCGCUAGGUGUGGGGCUCUUUCCACGAGUUCCGUGCCGCAGCAAACGCAUUAAGCGCCCCGCCUGGGGAGUACGGCCGCAAGGCUAAAACUCAAAGGAAUUGACGGAAUCGAAUUCCCGC
rnacentral:rRNA from 1 species